UCAGUAACGGCGAGUGAAGCGGCAACAGCUCAAAUUUGAAAUCUGGCCCUAGGCCCGAGUUGUAAUUUGCAGAGGAUGCUUUUGGUGCGGUGCCUUCCAAGUUCCCUAGAACGGGACGCCAGAGAGGGUGAGAGCCCCGUACAGUUGGACACCAAGCCUUUGUAAAGCUCCUUCGACGAGUCGAGUAGUUUGGGAAUGCUGCUCAAAAUGGGAGGUAUAUUUCUUCUAAAGCUAAAUACCGGCCAGAGACCGAUAGCGCACAAGUAGAGUGAUCGAAAGAUGAAAAGCACUUUGAAAAGAGGGUUAAACAGCACGUGAAAUUGUUAAAAGGGAAGCGCUUGUGACCAGACUUGCGUCCGGUGAAUCACCCAGCUCUCGCGGCUGGGGCACUUCGCCGGCUCAGGCCAGCAUCAGCUCGCUGUCGGGGACAAAAGCUUCAGGAACGUAGCUCUCUUCGGGGAGUGUUAUAGCCUGUUGCACAAUACCCUUCGGCGGGCUGAGGUACGCGCUCCGCAAGGAUGCUGGCAUAAUGGUCAUCAGCGACCCGUCUUGAAACACGGACCAAGGAGUCAACCUUAUGUGCGAGUGUUCGGGUGUCAAACCCCUACGCGUAAUGAAAGUGAACGCAGGUGAGAGCUUCGGCGCAUCAUCGACCGAUCCUGAUGUUCUCGGAUGGAUUUGAGUAAGAGCAUAUAGGGUUGGACCCGAAAGAAGGUGAACUAUGCGUGUAUAGGGUGAAGCCAGAGGAAACUCUGGUGGAGGCUCGCAGCGGUUCUGACGUGCAAAUCGAUCGUCAAAUAUGCGCAUGGGGGCGAAAGACUAAUCGAACCUUCUAGUAGCUGGUUUCCGCCGA
rnacentral:rRNA from 1 species